GACGAACGCUGGCGGCGCGCCUAAUACAUGCAAGUCGUGCGGGGAAGCGGGCGGAAACCUUUGGGUGGAAGCUCGUAUUCCUAGCGGCGGACGGGUGAGUAACACGUAGGCAACCUGCCUGUCAGACCGGGAUAACACUGGGAAACCGGUGCUAAUACCGGAUACGCUUCUUCUGGCGCAUGCUGGGGGAAGGAAAGGCGCUUUGGCGUCACUGACAGAUGGGCCUGCGGCGCAUUAGCUCGUUGGUGAGGUAACGGCUCACCAAGGCGACGAUGCGUAGCCGACCUGAGAGGGUGGCCGGCCACACUGGGACUGAGACACGGCCCAGACUCCUACGGGAGGCAGCAGUAGGGAAUCUUCCGCAAUGGGCGCAAGCCUGACGGAGCGACGCCGCGUGAGCGAGGAAGGCCUUCGGGUUGUAAAGCUCUGUUGUGAGGGAAGAACGUCCUGGAGAGGGAAUGCUCUGGGGGUGACGGUACCUCACGAGGAAGCCCCGGCUAACUAC
rnacentral:rRNA from 1 species